GAUUAAGAACGCAGCGAAAUGCGAUAAGUAGUGUGAAUUGCAGAAUUCAGUGAAUCAUCGAAUCUUUGAACGCACAUUGCGCCCUUUGGUAUUCCUUAGGGCAUGCCUGUUCGAGCGUCAUUUGAAACCUCAAGCUCAGCUUGGUGUUGGGUGUCUGUCCCCGCCUCCGCGGGGACUCGCCUCAAAAUCAUUGGCGGCCGGUACGUUGGCUUCGAGCGCAGCAGAAACGCGAACUCGAGGCCCGGCGGAUCGGCGACCAGAAGUCUCUUCUUCACAGUUUGACCUCGGAUCAGGUAGGGAUACCCGCUGAACUUAAGCAUAUCAAUAAGCGGAGGA
rnacentral:misc_RNA from 1 species